rnacentral:rRNA from 1 species
ACGGAAGGCAGCAGUGAGGAAUAUUGGUCAAUGGACGGAAGUCUGAACCAGCCAUGCCGCGUGCAGGAAUAAGGCCCUAUGGGUCGUAAACUGCUUUUGACGGGGAGCAAUAAGGUCUACGUGUAGGCCGAUGAGAGUACUCGUCGAAUAAGCAUCGGCUAACUCCGUGCCAGCAGCCGCGGUAAUACGGAGGAUGCAAGCGUUAUCCGGAUUUAUUGGGUUUAAAGGGUGCGUAGGCUGUGGACCAAGUCAGUGGUGAAAGCCCGGGGCUUAACUCCGGAACUGCCAUUGAUACUGGCCCGCUGGAAUACGGAUGCCGUGGGAGGAAUGAGUAGUGUAGCGGUGAAAUGCAUAGAUAUUACUCAGAACACCGAUUGCGAAGGCAUCUCACGAAUCCGUCAUUGACGCUGAGGCACGAAAGCGUGGGGAUCAAACAGGAUUAGAUACCCUGGUA